UUAAUUAGAAGCCAAAGCUAGCGGCAUACCACUGUUAAUGGUAAAACUGAACUUAUGUUCCAAUUAAG
rnacentral:tRNA from 1 species